CGUCGUACUACGAUGAAUGCUCAGUGAGACCCUGGAUCGUAUCAGAAGCUUAACCGGCAUCUGUUGCUGAGAAGUGGUCAAACUUGGUCAUUAGAGAAGUAAAAGUCGUAACAAGGUUUCCGUAGGUGAACCUGCGGAAGGAUCAUUA
rnacentral:rRNA from 1 species